rnacentral:rRNA from 1 species
AUGACAAAGCUAAAAAUGCAUCGCAGACGUAAUCUAAAUGCAAUGCAAAAACCAACUCGCACAGAAGACGCUGCUGGCAAUGCAAACGAAGACAGGCUUAGCAAGCUGCCGCAUGACCUUCUGCUCAACAUCCUAGAGAGGGUGGACACGCUCGAUGCAAUAAGGACCUGCGUCCUCUCCAAGCAAAUGCUUAAGCUCCCCGGCAUGCUCUCGCAGUUCUUCCUAAGUUGUAGUUCCAUUCCAGGUUUUUAUGAUAAAUCUCGUGUUAUCAGCCUCAGUGACGUGCAUCGAACCAACGGUGUUGUGGCUCAUGUUACGGAUAACAUCUUGAGCACAAGGAGCGAGGAGAUCACUAUCAGCAAAGUCAAAAUCAGAUUCGUCUUGGUGCCACAUGACUCUCUCACCAUUGGCAAAUCUGUCGCCUGUGCCAUGGCAACCCAGAAGGUUGGAGCAGCUGAAUUUGAGGUCAUAACGGAGAAGCCUUAUGAGUGGUGCUCUCCUGCCGACUUCCUCCACGGUGCGAAGCAGUUCAAUGAUUUUGUCGGUGCUUGUCCUGAUGCAUUUGCUGGCCUCAGGCGCCUGUGGCUGUGCAAUAUGAGGUUUGGUGAACUGGACAUCCCUAACAUCCUCAGCACUUGCAAGCUCUUGGAGUCAUUGCGUUUAACCGAAUGUGAUGCAAGGAUCCAUCCUGUGCUGCAAGUAGAGCAUGCUGAACUUGUUGAGCUUGAGAUCGACUAUGGGGAAUUUGAGAGAGUUGAGCUGAUAUAUCUACCAAAACUCCGACGGGUGAGAUAUAAGAGUUGGUUCUCUUAUAAAGAUCCCGUGUAUUUUGGUUUUGUACCACAACUUUCAAAGCCGAGCCUCAGUAAAACUGGCACCCGUUGGGAUAAGACUCUUGAGUUAAGUCAGCUUCUUGCUAAUGUUCCUUCCUUAAGCGAUCUGCAUCUGAAUUUCGAAAGUGAAAAGAUUUGGGUCCUGCCAGAAUGCCCGAAACCGCUCAAGCAUGUGUUCACCAAAUUACAGCACGUGAAUCUGGACCAUCUCCCUGAAGGACGUGAUUUAGAUUGGACAAUGUUUAUUCUUGAAGCUGCACCCUUUCUAAAAGAGCUGUGCAUCACAGUAUGGGAUCAUUGGUGCAUAAUGAUGACAGACGAAAAGUUUCGAAAGGAAAAUGGUUACUGUGAAAAGGAGGAGGUGAAGUGGAAGCCAUAUGCCCCUGAUUUCAAGCACGAGAAUCUAGUUAAGCUCACCAUCUAUGGCUUCCAACCCGACGACAACUUUGUGCGGUACAUUAGGUUCGUCAUGAAACAUGCGGUCAAUAUAACAGAGAUAUCUCUGCAUGACAGGAAGGUAUGUGGGAGCUGUGGUACCUUGGGUCUUGAGGUUUGUCCGUCAAGAUAUCCGCGGACCGCCAAGAAGAGGAGGCAGACAAUUGCGAUGGUUGGUUUGACUUCACAGCAAAAAAUCUACUUUCGGUCCUAA